UAGAGUUUGAUCAUGGCUCAGAUUGAACGCUGGCGGCAGGCUUAACACAUGCAAGUCGAGCGGAAACGAGAAUAGCUUGCUAUUCGGCGUCGAGCGGCGGACGGGUGAGUAAUGCUUGGGAAUAUGCCUUUUGGUGGGGGACAACAGUUGGAAACGACUGCUAAUACCGCAUAAUGUUUACGGACCAAAGCGGGGGACCUUCGGGCCUCGUGCCAAAAGAUUAGCCCAAGUGAGAUUAGCUAGUUGGUGGGGUAAAGGCCUACCAAGGCGACGAUCUCUAGCUGGUUUGAGAGGAUGAUCAGCCACACUGGGACUGAGACACGGCCCAGACUCCUACGGGAGGCAGCAGUGGGGAAUAUUGCACAAUGGGGGAAACCCUGAUGCAGCCAUGCCGCGUGUGUGAAGAAGGCCUUCGGGUUGUAAAGCACUUUCAGUCGUGAGGAAAGGGUGUUGAUUAAUACUCAACAUCUGUGACGUUAGCGACAGAAGAAGCACCGGCUAACUCCGUGCCAGCAGCCGCGGUAAUACGGAGGGUGCGAGCGUUAAUCGGAAUUACUGGGCGUAAAGCGUGCGUAGGCGGUUUGAUAAGCCAGAUGUGAAAUCCCGGGGCUUAACCUCGGAACUGCAUUUGGAACUGUUUGACUAGAGUACUGUAGAGGGUGGUGGAAUUUCCAGUGUAGCGGUGAAAUGCGUAGAGAUUGGAAGGAACAUCAGUGGCGAAGGCGGCCACCUGGACAGAUACUGACGCUGAGGCACGAAAGC
rnacentral:rRNA from 1 species